rnacentral:snoRNA from 1 species
GCAUCUUACUUGAACAGGAUGUGUUCUAUAGACUCGCACCUCGGUAUCCUUUAGCACAAAUUAAGUAUAUGAAAUUUCGCUGUCAACUUCAAAUUUCUGGUCGAGCAUUAUAAUUGACG